GCGGGUGGGCGUGGGCUCCCUCAGCCGAACAGCCCCCGACUGGGCGCCUAUCGCCGCCGCUGUUCUCUCCGCGUUCUCUCUCUCUGCGCCGACUGGACUACCUGCUGCAGUGCUGCUUCCGCCGCCGCCCUACACCAGGUGCCCAGACCUUCGUCCGGUCCGUCUCCAGCAACGAGUAGCCACCAGGUGUCAGGGUAUUUGUAACCAGUGACAAAAGCUCUGCUUGCUGUAGACUCAUGGCUGCAAAGAUACGCGUAGUGAUGAAGUCUUUUAUGAGCCAAAGCAACCAGGUCUCAGGGCUUCUGCCAUUCACAAAGAAGAUUGGACUACCUGAAUCACGAGCCUUGUAUACCGUGUUGCGAUCACCUCAUAUUGAUAAGAAGUCCAGGGAACAAUUCUCAAUGCAUGUCAAGAAACAGUUUGUGGAGCAGACAGCCAAACCUCACGAACUUCACAAAAAGUUCUUCUGGUUAAAACGCCUGCGUAUACCUGGGGCUCAGUUUGAAGUCCAAAUUUCUUUCAAGACACGUCUGGAUAUGGCAAGACUAAGGUCCCAAGCUCCUUGAUGUCAUCCCGAAAGUUUGAAGUGCUGAGACUGGUACUCAGAACUUGUAUCCAUCAACAUUUCAUAUGAAGACAUGCUUAUUUUGGUGAUGUAGGUACCAUUGGAGAUGUAGGUCCCAAGUCUUAAAUCAAUAUGGGGAGAAGAAAAAAAGGUUACUUUCAAUGGUUUAGCAAAAUUGAGUUGGUAAAACACAAAGUGUGGACCCAGCGGUUAUUUUUUCAAGCGAAAAUUUUCUUCA